UAUCUAUCUAUCUAUGAGUUUAUGGUUCUAAAAUAUUCUUCUCCCGUGUAUUUGCAUUUACAGAAAAUUGUGGAAACAGUGUCUCAUCUCUUCAAUAAUUUACACAGGAUAAUUUCUUGAAAAGCAAGACCAGCAGGGACUUUUUCUCCUGAUGGUAGAGAAUUUGGUUAUCUAUCUCUGGAUACUCAGAAAACAAGGCAAAGAAUAAAGCAGAGAAAGAAGAAAUAAAAUGAGGGAAAGAAGUUCCAUCUACUGUAAACACGCUCCAACAAAUUGCAAACUGUACAAGGGAUGUACGCUCCUAUGAUUGCAAUUUAGAUGUAGGCAUUUGGAUGCUUGGACUUCAGAACAGAAUCUGGAAAAGUGGAUGUCUACAAGCAUUCUCAUCUUGCACAUCUGGCAUGAGAAUUGGUGUGCUCAGCUAUGGACUGCUGUCUACAAGUACACAAGAAUGGGGAGAGAAAACAAAGCCAACAGUCUAGGACUUUUUCUUCCCAGAAGGAGGGAUUUUGUCCAAUUGUCCAUUUUCAAAAUUCAUGAAAAGAGCCUGUGAAGAGUAAAAAAUUUUCAGAAUGUGAAACAUCCAUCCUCUUCCAUCAAGACAUCUUCUUCAACGACAUUUCAAUUGCUGGUAGUUCAGAUCAGUUCAGAAACUUUUGAAGAUCCCCAGGACUGAUAGGUUAAUGAGUGAAAGAGACCAGGGUUUAUGAGACAAUGCACUGAUGCACAGAUGUGCACUGAUAUUUGAAAAUCAUGCACUA
rnacentral:lncRNA from 1 species